AGAGUUUGAUCCUGGCUCAGGACGAACGCUGGCGGCGCGCCUAACACAUGCAAGUCGAACGAGAGAGAGGGAGCUUGCUUCCUUGAUCGAGUGGCGAACGGGUGAGUAACGCGUGAGGAACCUGCCUCAAAGAGGGGGACAACAGUUGGAAACGACUGCUAAUACCGCAUAAGCCCACGGCUCGGCAUCGAGCAGAGGGAAAAGGAGCAAUCCGCUUUGAGAUGGCCUCGCGUCCGAUUAGCUAGUUGGUGAGGUAACGGCCCACCAAGGCGACGAUCGGUAGCCGGACUGAGAGGUUGAACGGCCACAUUGGAACUGAGACACGGUCCAAACUCCUACGGGAGGCAGCA
rnacentral:rRNA from 1 species